rnacentral:rRNA from 1 species
CGGACACGAUGUCGACUUGGAGGUUGUGCCCUUGAGGCGUGGCUUCCGGAGCUAACGCGUUAAGUCGACCGCCUGGGGAGUACGGCCGCAAGGUUAAAACUCAAAUGAAUUGACGGGGGCCCGCACAAGCGGUGGAGCAUGUGGUUUAAUUCGAUGCAACGCGAAGAACCUUACCUGGUCUUGACAUCCACGGAAGUUUUCAGAGAUGGAAAGGUGCCUUCGGGAACCGUGAGACAGGUGCUGCAUGGCUGUCGUCAGCUCGUGUUGUGAAAUGUUGGGUUAAGUCCCGCAACGAGCGCAACCCUUAUCCUUUGUUGCCAGCGGUCCGGCCGGGAACUCAAAGGAGACUGCCAGUGAUAAACUGGAGGAAGGUGGGGAUGACGUCAAGUCAUCAUGGCCCUUACGACCAGGGCUACACACGUGCUACAAUGGCGCAUACAAAGAGAAGCGACCUCGCGAGAGCAAGCGGACCUCAUAAAGUGCGUCGUAGUCCGGAUUGGAGUCUGCAACUCGACUCCAUGAAGUCGGAAUCGCUAGUAAUCGUGGAUCAGAAUGCCACGGUGAAUACGUUCCCGGGCCUUGUACACACCGCCCGUCACACCAUGGGAGUGGGUUGCAAAAGAAGUAGGUAGCUUAACCUUCGGGAGGGCGCUUACCACUUUGUGAUUCAUGACUGGGGUGAAGUCGUACAGGGAAAACCCGUAAAAUGGUCCACAAAGGGUUUUUAGAGGUGGAACGGUGGUGGUCAAACGGGGGUACUAUCUUCCCCCCGGUUUCCCCCAAAAUUUCUAACUUUUUCAGCGCUUCCGCGAGAUAUUCACCCCCCCUUGAAGAAUUCUAUGUGCCAUUAUAAGAGAUGUCCGAGAUGACGCGGAGUAUAUCUUAUCUAUUUAAACACCUGAUGCGUGCUCUGACCGCUAUAUCUCUAAUAACGUGAGCCCCUUCGUAUACGUGCUGUCGGCAGAUCAGCGGUCUCUUGCUGAGUACCUAAGAAAGGUUACUAUUCUCCUCUCCGCGUGUGAGUUUUAGACCAGAGCUUUUCACGAUGUUGUACGUGUCCGCUGAUGAUCC